GAUCAUGGCUCAGGAUGAACGCUGGCGGCGCGCUUAACACAUGCAAGUCGAGCGAAGCACUUAGGAAAGAUUCUUCGGAUGAUUUCCUAUUUGACUGAGCGGCGGACGGGUGAGUAACGCGUGGGUAACCUGCCUCAUACAGGGGGAUAACAGUUAGAAAUGACUGCUAAUACCGCAUAAGACCACAGCACCGCAUUGUGCAGGGGUAAAAACUCCGGUGGUAUGANAUGGACCCGCG
rnacentral:rRNA from 1 species